rnacentral:rRNA from 1 species
CGAGCGAACAGACGAGGAGCUUGCUCCUCUGACGUUAGCGGCGGACGGGUGAGUAACACGUGGAUAACCUACCUAUAAGACUGGGAUAACUUCGGGAAACCGGAGCUAAUACCGGAUAAUAUAUUGAACCGCAUGGUUCAAUAGUGAAAGACGGUUUUGCUGUCACUUAUAGAUGGAUCCGCGCCGCAUUAGCUAGUUGGUAAGGUAACGGCUUACCAAGGCAACGAUGCGUAGCCGACCUGAGAGGGUGAUCGGCCACACUGGAACUGAGACACGGUCCAGACUCCUACGGGAGGCAGCAGUAGGGAAUCUUCCGCAAUGGGCGAAAGCCUGACGGAGCAACGCCGCGUGAGUGAUGAAGGUCUUCGGAUCGUAAAACUCUGUUAUUAGGGAAGAACAAAUGUGUAAGUAACUAUGCACGUCUUGACGGUACCUAAUCAGAAAGCCACGGCUAACUACGUGCCAGCAGCCGCGGUAAUACGUAGGUGGCAAGCGUUAUCCGGAAUUAUUGGGCGUAAAGCGCGCGUAGGCGGUUUUUUAAGUCUGAUGUGAAAGCCCACGGCUCAACCGUGGAGGGUCAUUGGAAACUGGAAAACUUGAGUGCAGAAGAGGAAAGUGGAAUUCCAUGUGUAGCGGUGAAAUGCGCAGAGAUAUGGAGGAACACCAGUGGCGAAGGCGACUUUCUGGUCUGUAACUGACGCUGAUGUGCGAAAGCGUGGGGAUCAAACAGGAUUAGAUACCCUGGUAGUCCACGCCGUAAACGAUGAGUGCUAAGUGUUAGGGGGUUUCCGCCCCUUAGUGCUGCAGCUAACGCAUUAAGCACUCCGCCUGGGGAGUACGACCGCAAGGUUGAAACUCAAAGGAAUUGACGGGGACCCGCACAAGCGGUGGAGCAUGUGGUUUAAUUCGAAGCAACGCGAAGAACCUUACCAAAUCUUGACAUCUUCUGACCCCUCUAGAGAUAGAGUUUUCCCCUUCGGGGGACAGAGUGACAGGUGGUGCAUGGUUGUCGUCAGCUCGUGUCGUGAGAUGUUGGGUUAAGUCCCGCAACGAGCGCAACCCUUAAGCUUAGUUGCCAUCAUUAAGUUGGGCACUCUAAGUUGACUGCCGGUGACAAACCGGAGGAAGGUGGGGAUGACGUCAAAUCAUCAUGCCCCUUAUGAUUUGGGCUACACACGUGCUACAAUGGACAAUACAAAGGGCAGCGAAACCGCGAGGUCAAGCAAAUCCCAUAAAGUUGUUCUCAGUUCGGAUUGUAGUCUGCAACUCGACUAUAUGAAGCUGGAAUCGCUAGUAAUCGUAGAUC